AAUGCCACAGAUUCUGCAGUGUGGUUAGACUGACCAAGAGGAUCUUCCUUGAUUCUCAAGUCAGUGGGACAGGAUUUCUUGUGAUCCUUUGUUCUGCUGACAUCGCUUGCUUGCAUUGUCCAUGAGAUGUUCAGGUGGGGGGGUCAGAAGUGGGGGGCUUAAAUCCUAGGGAAGAUUGACAGAUUUUUUUUUUUUUUUUUUUUUUUUUUUUUUUUUUUUUUUUUUUUACUUUCCCCAGUGAUAAGGGCACUAUUUUCCAAGAACAUCCUGCACCUAAUCAAUAGUUUGCUGUUCACGACUCCUCCAGCACCGGCUUGGUCUCUCUGGUAUUCUGCCUGCAACAUGCAGUUUAAUCUCCUCAAAAGAUGUACUUCCUCUACCUCCCCCUGCCCAGCUGUGCCUCGUCAGGAGAUGUCAGACCUGCAAGCUGAAAUGUCAGGUCAGUUGGGAAAAGUUCCCUUUAAUAAAACUAGGUUUGCUUUGACAAUGCCUUAGU
rnacentral:lncRNA from 1 species